rnacentral:rRNA from 1 species
CCUACGGGAGGCAGCAGUAAGGAAUAUUGGACAAUGGACGCAAGUCUGAUCCAGCCAUGCCGCGUGAAGGAUUAAGGCCCUCUGGGUUGUAAACUUCUUUUAUAGGGGACGAAAAAAGGGCUUUCUAGCUCGACUGACGGUACCCUAUGAAUAAGCACCGGCUAACUCCGUGCCAGCAGCCGCGGUAAUACGGAGGGUGCAAGCGUUAUCCGGAUUCACUGGGUUUAAAGGGUGCGUAGGCGGGUAGGUAAGUCAGUGGUGAAAUCUUCGAGCUCAACUCGGAAACUGCCAUUGAUACUAUUUAUCUUGAAUAUUGUGGAGGUGAGCGGAAUAUGUCAUGUAGCGGUGAAAUGCUUAGAUAUGACAUAGAACACCAAUUGCGUAGGCAGCUCGCUACACAUAUAUUGACGCUGAGGCACGAAAGCGUGGGGAUCAAACAGGAUUAGAUACCCUGGUAGUCCACGCCCUAAACUAUGAUUACUCGACAUAUGCGAUACACUGUAUGUGUGUGAGACGAAGACGAGUAAGUAAGUACCGUACCGUUACGGAAGUAACGACCGACGAGGUUAGGUUAACGUUAAAGGUAAGUUAGACGGACGNGAGACGCGCGACGGACGACGACGAGGAGGAGG